rnacentral:rRNA from 1 species
AGGAGGAAGCCCCGGCUAACUACGUGCCAGCAGCCGCGGUAAUACGUAGGGGGCUAGCGUUAUCCGGAUUUACUGGGCGGAAAGGGUGCGUAGGCGGUCUUUCAAGUCAGGAGUGAAAGGCUACGGCCCAACCGUAGUAAGCUCUUGAAACUGGGAGACUUGAGUGCAGGAGAGGAGAGUGGAAUUCCUAGUGUAGCGGUGAAAUGC